rnacentral:rRNA from 1 species
UUUUUAAUAUAAUAUUUGAUCCUUUCGUACUAAAAUAUUUUUUUUAUUUAAGAUAGAAACCAACCUGGCUCACACCGGUUUAAACUCAGAUCAUGUAAAAUUUCAAAGGUCGAACAGACCUAAUAUUUUAGCUUCUACACCAAAAAUAAAUUUUAAUCCAACAUCGAGGUCGCAAACCUUUUUUUCAAUAAGAACUAUUAAAAAGAUUACGCUGUUAUCCCUAAGGUAAUUUAAUCUUAUAAUCAUUUUUAUGGAUCAAUAACUCAAUUAUAAUUGUAAAAAUAAAAAAAAAGUUAAUUUAAUUUUUCUGUCACCCCAACAAAACUUAAAUUAAAUUAAAAAUUUAAAAUUCUAAAAUUAAUAAUUUUAUAUUUAGUUAAACUCUAUAGGGUCUUCUCGUCUUUAAAAAUUAUUUAAGCUUUUUAACUUAAAAAUAAAAUUCUAUUAAUAAAAUUGAAACAGUAAUUUUCUCAUCAAACCAUUCAUACAAGCUUUCAAUUAAAAAACUAAUGAUUAUGCUACCUUUGCACAGUCAAAAUACUGCGGCCCUUCAAACUUCAGUGGGCAGGCCAAACUUUAAAUUAAAAUC